rnacentral:tmRNA from 1 species
GGGCGCAAUGGUUUCGACGGGGACCGGACGGCACCGUAAGCGGAUAGCGGCGCACAACCGCUUUAAAAUGUGCAAUUUAAAAUUAAACGCUAACAAUAAUAAAUUAGCUUACGCUGCUUAAGCGGCGUCAUCCGAAUGCGAGGGACCACGGGCGCAGGAGGGUGUCACAUUCAGUGGUGAACGGAUACCGCAAAGCUUUGCGCGGCUGUCUGUAAUAUGAAGCUACCGAAAAACGCAGUUUGCUUUAUGACGGCGUUUGGAGGGAAUGCAAAUAUAAAGCUAUAUCCGUAGAAAGCGAUGCAACAAAGUUUUCGGACAGGGGUUCAA